GACGAACGCUGGCGGCGUGCUUAACACAUGCAAGUCGAACGGAAAGGCCCCUUUGGGGGUACUCGAGUGGCGAACGGGUGAGUAACACGUGAGUAACCUGCCCUUGACUUCGGGAUAACUUCAGGAAACUGGGGCUAAUACCGGAUAGGAAUCCUUGCUGCAUGGUGGGGGUUGGAAAGCUUCGGCGGUUUUGGAUGGACUCGCGGCUUAUCAGCUUGUUGGUGGGGUAGUGGCUUACCAAGGCGUUGACGGGUAGCCGGCCUGAGAGGGCGACCGGCCACAUUGGGACUGAGGUACGGCCCAGACACCUACGGGAGGCAGCAGUGGGGAAGAUUGCACAAUGGGCGGAAGUCUGAUGCAGCAACGCCGCGGGCGGGAUGACGGCCUUCGGGUUGUAAACCGCUUUCAGCAGGGGCGAAGCUUGUGGUGACGGUACCUGCAGAAGAAGCACCGGCUAACUACGUG
rnacentral:rRNA from 1 species